rnacentral:rRNA from 1 species
GAUGAACGCUAGCGGCAGGCUUAACACAUACAAGUCGAGGGGUAGAGGUUGCUUGCAACUUUGAGACCGGCGCACGGGUGCGUAACGCGUAAGCAAUCUGCCUUGUACUGAGGGAUAGCCCAGAGAAAUUUGGAUUAAUACCUCAUAGUAUCUUUUCCCGGCAUCGGGAGAUUAUUAAAGUUCCAACGGUACAAGAUGAGCAUGCGUCCCAUUAGCUAGUUGGUAUGGUAACGGCAUACCAAGGCAAUGAUGGGUAGGGGUCCUGAGAGGGAGAUCCCCCACACUGGUACCUAGACACGGACCAGACUCCUACGGGAGGAAGCAGUGAGGCAUAUUGGUCAAUGGGCGCAAGCCUGAACCAGCCAUGCCGCGUGCAGGAUGAAGCAUCGAUGGUGUGUAAACUGCUUUUAUACGGGAAGAGACACCGGUUCGUGAACCGGCUUGACGGUACCGUAAGAAUAAGGAUCGGCUAACUCCGUGCCAGCAGCAGCCGCAG